rnacentral:rRNA from 1 species
UUACCGAGUUUACAACUCCCAAACCCCUGUGAACAUACCACUUGUUGCCUCGGCGGAUCAGCCCGCUCCCGGUAAAACGGGACGGCCCGCCAGAGGACCCCUAAACUCUGUUUCUAUAUGUAACUUCUGAGUAAAACCAUAAAUAAAUCAAAACUUUCAACAACGGAUCUCUUGGUUCUGGCAUCGAUGAAGAACGCAGCAAAAUGCGAUAAGUAAUGUGAAUUGCAGAAUUCAGUGAAUCAUCGAAUCUUUGAACGCACAUUGCGCCCGCCAGUAUUCUGGCGGGCAUGCCUGUUCGAGCGUCAUUUCAACCCUCAAGCACAGCUUGGUGUUGGGACUCGCGUUAAUUCGCGUUCCCCAAAUUGAUUGGCGGUCACGUCGAGCUUCCAUAGCGUAGUAGUAAAACCCUCGUUACUGGUAAUCGUCGCGGCCACGCCGUUAAACCCCAACUUCUGAAUGUUGACCUCGGAUCAGGUAGGAAUACCCGCUGAACUUAAGCAUAUCAAUAAGCGGAGGAAAAGAAACCAACAGGGAUUGCCCUAGUAACGGCGAGUGAAGCGGCAACAGCUCAAAUUUGAAAUCUGGCUCUCGGGCCCGAGUUGUAAUUUGUAGAGGAUACUUUUGAUGCGGUGCCUUCCGAGUUCCCUGGAACGGGACGCCAUAGAGGGUGAGAGCCCCGUCUGGUUGGAUGCCAAAUCUCUGUAAAGUUCCUUCAACGAGUCGAGUA